GCUUGCUGUCACUGAGCCUGGGCGAGGGCACUUCCGUGGAAAUCCGACUGGAGUGGCUUUGCCAGGACAGUACGGGUCCAUCGGUAUCGCUUGUGUUGUCACAACAAGAAUGCAGACACAAAAAGACGGUGAAGCUGGUGAUAUGACUGAUACAUGUGUGAUGGAGGGGAUGUGAAUCUUCUCUGUGUGGUCAACCAGCUAACAAUGCGCCUGAGCGGCUAUAUCCUGCUGAGGGGGAUUUGUCGCUCCAUGGUGACUGUGAGCUGGCAAAAUGGGAGCGGGAGAAAGACCCCGAUUUGAUUAGAUUCUGUGCUGUUGCUGUUAAUCAGGAAGAUUCACCAACGUAACAAUGCCACAGACAUGAGGAGAUGGGCACAGGGGGGAAAUCCUACGAGUUUCACAUCAGGUCUCUUUCUACCCUAAUUCCUACAGCAACAGGAAGUACUUUUCUUUUUAGUUCCAUCCAACCUAAAACUCAUGUUUCCUCGUAUUUCAGUUGUACUGUCAUAAAAAUUUGAAUGGCACAGUUGAGUUCACUUUGUAGAGUGCUAUAACCACCUCUCUGCCAACGUGUGUCACAGAUUUUAAACAUGAAAAUUGGUAAUAAAGGCUUUAAACCUG